CAGUGGUAAGAGUGGUCCUUUGACCUACGGUGAUAUUAGCUAUUUGCAGCGAGGCUACUGAGUUUGACUACACAUUCCCUUGGUUCCUAACCAUUCGGAUCCUUGCUGUGUAUGUUGGCUUCAGUAGGUUCAGGUUUGCUGUUUGGAGUAGGAUGCACCAAGAUGAAAUUUAUCGACCUUGCUAGAAAAGGAGAAGUCCUAUGUGAUUUGUGAGAUUGAGUUUAGAAAGUCUUUGGUCAAAGCAAGUAUGAAUACUGAAAAAGAGUUUCCAUAGGAUUCAC
rnacentral:lncRNA from 1 species